ensembl:snRNA U6 U6 spliceosomal RNA
UUGCUCACUUCAGCUACACAUAUGCUAAAAUUGGAAGGAUACAGAGAAGAUUGUCAUGGCCCCUGCACAAGGAUGACAUGCAUGAAGCAUUCCAUAUAUUU